rnacentral:tRNA from 1 species
AGUUGUGUGGCUUUGUGGUCAUGCGGCUAGUGUCACUUAGCCGCAUCGUGCUAAGGAGCGCGGGUUCGAUUCCCGCCGCAGCUG